rnacentral:miRNA from 1 species
GGGUUCCUUGUUGGAAGGACU